rnacentral:rRNA from 1 species
AUUGAACGCUGGCGGCAGGCUUAACACAUGCAAGUCGAGCGGAGAGAGGUAGCUUGCUACUGAUCUUAGCGGCGGACGGGUGAGUAAUGCUUAGGAAUCUGCCUAUUAGUGGGGGACAACAUUUCGAAAGGAAUGCUAAUACCGCAUACGUCCUACGGGAGAAAGCAGGGGAUCUUCGGACCUUGCGCUAAUAGAUGAGCCUAAGUCGGGUUAGCUAGUUGGUGGGGUAAAGGCCUACCAAGGCGACGAUCUGUAGCGGGUCUGAGAGGAUGAUCCGCCACACUGGGACUGAGACACGGCCCAGACUCCUACGGGAGGCAGCAGUGGGGAAUAUUGGACAAUGGGCGGAAGCCUGAUCCAGCAAUGCCGCGUGUGUGAAGAAGGCCUUAUGGUUGUAAAGCACUUUAAGCGAGGAGGAGGCUACUUUAGUUAAUACCUAGAGAUAGUGGACGUUACUCGCAGAAUAAGCACCGGCUAACUCUGUGCCAGCAGCCGCCGCCGUAA